GAAAAAGAACCUGAAACCGUGUACGUACAAGCAGUGGGAGCACGCUUCGGCGUGUGACUGCGUACCUUUUGUAUAAUGGGUCAGCGACUUAUAUUCUGUAGCAAGGUUAACCGAAUAGGGGAGCCGAAGGGAAACCGAGUCUUAACUGGGCGUUAAGUUGCAGGGUAUAGACCCGAAACCCGGUGAUCUAGCCAUGGGCAGGUUGAAGGUUGGGUAACACUAACUGGAGGACCGAACCGACUAAUGUUGAAAAAUUAGCGGAUGACUUGUGGCUGGGGGUGAAAGGCCAAUCAAACCGGGAGAUAGCUGGUUCUCCCCGAAAGCUAUUUAGGUAGCGCCUCGUGAAUUCAUCUCCGGGGGUAGAGCACUGUUUCGGCAAGGGGGUCAUCCCGACUUACCAACCCGAUGCAAACUGCGAAUACCGGAGAAUGUUAUCACGGGAGACACACGGCGGGUGCUAACGUCCGUCGUGAAGAGGGAAACAACCCAGACCGCCAGCUAAGGUCCCAAAGUCAUGGUUAAGUGGGAAACGAUGUGGGAAGGCCCAGACAGCCAGGAUGUUGGCUUAGAAGCAGCCAUCAUUUAAAGAAAGCGUAAUAGCUCACUGGUCGAGUCGGCCUGCGCGGAAGAUGUAACGGGGCUAAA
rnacentral:rRNA from 1 species